rnacentral:tRNA from 1 species
GGGGCGGUGGCGGAAUAGGCAGACGCAACGGACUUAAAAUCCGUCGGUGGAGACACCGUGUGGGUUCAAGUCCCACCCGCCCUA